CCGGGGAUCAGGGGCGAGGACCGAGGAGCCCGCGGAGGAGCGGGGUGAAGGGAGCGAGGAUUCAUCUGGGCGGCUUCCUCCUGAGGCUCUUUCUUGGAAAGGUAAAUAUAGAUGGAUUGCGUGACUGGCAUUACCCCAGCCCCACAUGGCACCGAAAUGAGACCAUGGAUGGAGAGGACACCUUUCCCUUCUUCAGAAGGAUGGGAGGCUGGGGAACCAGCAUGGAGCCAGUUUCCGGCUCCAAAGCUCGGCCCCGGGUCCGAACUUUUUCUGGCAGACAAGACACCCUGUCCUGCGUUCCAGGCAUCCACAAGCAGGGUGCUCAUGUGCCGCUCCCCUUCUCUCCUCUGCUGGGCCUCUCUGAGGGCAGGACACAUUCCCCCUGCUGCCUUUUUUUUUUUUUUUUUAAUCACAACUCAAAUUUGGGUAUUUUCCUCCCUUUGCCAGCCCCGCCAAAACUUUCAGUGGGCUCCGCCCACUCCACGUGGACCUCCCUUCCCUGUCCCAGCAACCCCUGCGAGAAUCCCACCCCCAACACGUGAUCAACCAAA